AAUCAACGCUGGCGGCAUGCCUAACACAUGCAAGUCGAGCGAGAAAGUGUAGCAAUACAUGAGUAAAGCGGCGCACGGGUGAGUAACACGUGGAUAACCUGCCUCAAAGUGGGGAAUAACACCGGGAAACCGGUGCUAAUACCGCAUAUUCUGAUGAAGUCUGCGGAUUUUUGUCAGUAAAGGAGCAAUUCGCUAUGAGAGGGGUCCGCGGCUGAUUAGCUAGUUGGUGAGGUAAUGGCUCACCAAGGCAACGAUCAGUAGCCGGUCUGAGAGGACGGUCGGCCACACUGGAACUGAGACACGGUCCAGACUCCUACGGGAGGCAGCAGUGGGGAAUUUUUCGCAAUGGGGAAACCCUGACGAAGCAAUGCCGCGUGGAUGAUG
rnacentral:rRNA from 1 species